rnacentral:rRNA from 1 species
UGUCCGGAUUUACUGGGUGUAAAGGGUGCGUAGGCGGCUUUGCAAGUCAGAUGUGAAAUCUAUGGGCUCAACCCAUAAACUGCAUUUGAAACUGUAGAGCUUGAGUGAAGUAGAGGCAGGCGGAAUUCCCCGUGUAGCGGUGAAAUGCGUAGAGAUGGGGAGGAACACCAGUGGCGAAGGCGGCCUGCUGGGCUUUAACUGACGCUGAGGCACCAAAGCGUGGGUAGCAAACAGGAUUAGAUACCCUGGUAGUCCACGCUGUAACCGAUGAUUACUAG